rnacentral:rRNA from 1 species
AACGAACGCUGGCGGCAUGCCUAACACAUGCCAGUCGAACGAGACCUUCGGGUCUAGUGGCGCACGGGUGCGUAACGCGUGGGAACCUGCCCUUAGGUUCGCAAUAACUCACCGAAAGAGAUGCUCAUACCGGUUAAUGUCUUCGCACCAAAGAUUUAUCGCCUUUGGGUGGGCGCGCGUUGGAUUAGGUAGUUGGUAGGGUAAAAGCCUACCAAGGAGACGAUCCAUAGCUGGUGUGAGAGGAAGAUCAUCCACACUGGGACUGAGACCCGGCCCACACUCCUACGGGAGGGAGCAGUAGGUAAUAUUGGACACUGGGCCAUAGCGUGAUCCAGCAGUGCCGGGUGAGUGAUGAAGGCGUUAGGGUUGUAAAGCUCUUUUACCCGGGAUGAUAAUGACAGUACCGGGAGAAUAAGCACCGGCUAACUCCGUG